ACUAGAGAGAUGGGUGAAGGACCCUGAGAGGCCUGCAGGCAGCCAGCCAGGCCGGGAGGAGCAGGGCUGUGUGGAAAGCGGGGCCCCACGGUGCAGGAGGGCAGGCCAGGGAGCAAGACCUGAGUGCUGGGAGUUGGGCACCAAGACUGCUAGAUCUGAGGGUGGAGGUGUAGGGGCCCCCGGUUGUUACAUUCUGAAGUAAAGCAGGAAUUUUCUAUCACAAAGGGGUGUGGUAGCUGAGGAUCCCAGAUGUCUGAGGUUUUGCUAGGACAGGGGUGGGGCCUGCAUGCCUGGUUAUUGGAGAGAGGGAAAAGCUGAAAGCUACAUCCAUGCUGGGCACAGUGGCUCAUGCCUGUAAUCCCAGCACUUUGGGAGUGUGAGGCGGGUGGAUCACUUGUGGUCAGGAGUUCGAGACCAGCCUGGCCAACAUGGUGAAAACCCGUCUCUACUAAAAAUAUGACUAUUAGCUAGGUGUGGUGGCAGGCGCCUGUAAUCCCAGCUCCUCAGGAGGAGGCCGAGGCAGGAUAAUCGCUUGAACCUGAGAAGGGGAGGUUGCAGUGAGCUGAGAUCAAGCCACUGUACUCCAGCCUGGUGACAGAGUGAGACUCCAUCCCAGCUUCUCAUGUAUAACAAAUGUGGAAACUGGGAUGCCUGUCUUCUCUAAAGAAGCGGGAUCCAAACUCAUGCGUCUCACUGGGGUGGAGAAUCGGGAAGCAGAGCUCCUAGGGGUGGGGUGGCCAGGGACCUGGACCCCCGGAUCCUUGGGAAAGGACUUGAUGGGUUUUGGUUUCUCCUGGGGGACAGGGACUGAGCUGCAGUAACCAGUGACGGAUGUCCCUGUGAAGGCAGAUCACCAUCCCCUCCCUUUAAGGGCCCACACUUACUCUGCUCCUGAUUCCGUCUGUGGAUCCGAAGCUGGAGGACUGUGGAGGGGAGGAGGGAGGUGGAAGGUGGGAGGAGGAAGGCGGGAAGGGAGUGUCCAGGAGCCUGGCCUUGGCGGGGAGGUGGGAGUUGCAGUUGUUGGCGGGACACGCGUGCCCAGCCCCCUUAAACAGUCCUUGCAAGCGGGUGGGCGGGCAGCACGCUCCCUUCCUUGGGCCUCCCGCUGGCUCCCUGCCAGCACAGCGCCUCAGGCCAGCACCACUCUGGGGCUAGGAGCCAGCCAGCAUGCAGGCAGGCGACAGCCCUGCCCCCAGUUCCACCCGCCCCCUCCACGAGCAAGCGUGUGCCCACCCCACCCCCUGCGCAGUUGCCAUCUUGGCAGCCUGGCCCUUUGCACCUCGCCUCCCCUCACCCAUGCAGUCCUGCUACUUUCUGCCCUAUCUUGGGGCCUUCCCACAGUCAACACUCUCCGAAUGUCCACAUUUUAAAUAUGCAUCUCUCUGGGCUCUAGUUUGGCACACAUGCCAUUUUUCUGGCGCCAGGCUGGAGGGCAAUGGCACGAUCUCGGCUCACUGCAACUUCCACCUCCCGGGUUGAAACGAUUCUGCCUCAGCCUCCUGAGUAGCUGGGGCUACAGGUGCGAGACACCACACCCAGCUAAUUUUUUCCCGUGUUUUUAGUAGAGACAGGGUUUCAAGAUGUUGGGCGGGAUAGUCUUGAUCUUUUGACCUGGUAAUCCACCCACCUCGUCCUUCCAAAGUGCUGGAAUUACAGGCGUGAGCAACCAUGCCUGGCCAGCUUCUGUGUUAACACUUCUUCCCUUUUUAAAAAUUUGUUUUAUUUUUUUCUGGAGACAGGGUCUUGCUCUGUAGCCCAGGAUGGAGUGCACUGGCGAGAUCAUAGCUCACUGCAGCCUUGAACUCCUGGGCUCAACCCAUCCUCCCAACUUUCUCUUGAGUCCCUGGGACUGCAAGCAUGUACCACCACACCUAGCUAAAUUGGUUUUGAUUUUUUUUGUAGAGACAGGGUUUUGCUGCUGUGUUGCCCAGAAUGAAUGUCAACUAUCUUUUUUUCUUGAGACGGAGUCUCACUCUGCCACCCAGGCUAGAGUGCAGUGUUGCGAUCUCGGCUCACUGCAACCUCCACCUCUAGGGUUCAAGUGAUUCGCUUGCCUCAGCAUCCCAAGUAGCUGGGAUUACAGGUGCCUGCCACCACACCAUGCUAAUUUUUUUCUUUUUGGAGACUCAGCCUCGCUGUGUCACCCAGGCUGGAGUGCAGUGGUGCGAUCUCAGCUCACUACAACCUCUGACUCUCGGGUUCAAGCAAUUCUCCUGCUGCAGCUUCCCGAGUAGCUGGGACUAUAGGCAUGCACCACCACGUCCAGCUAAUUUUUUGUACUUUAGUAGAGAUGGAGUUUCACCAUGUUGCCUAGGCUGGUCUUGAACUCCUGAGCUCAGGCCAUUCACCCACCACGGCCUCCCAAAGUGCUUGGAUUACGGGUAUGAGCCACUAUACCCAGGGUCAAUUUUUUGUAUUUUUACUAGAGGAGGUGUUUUGUCAUAUUGGACAGGCUGGUCUUGAACUCCUGACCUCAGGUGAUCCACCUGCCUUGGCCUCCCAAAAUGCUGGGAUUACAGGCAUGAGCCACUGUAUCCAGCCAGGAUGAAUUUUAACUAUCUUACUGUGCACUAAAGGUUUGUCCCCCAGUUUGGGAGCAAGGAUCUAUCUGCACAUUUCUGCUCUUCUCUUGACAUAUACACCGUGUGUGUGUGUGUGUGUGUGUGUGUGUGUGUGUGUGUGUGUGAGUGAGAGAGAGACAGUCUCACCCUGGAGUGCAAUGGCACAAUCUCAGCUCACUGCAACUUCCACCUCCCGGGUUCAAGUGAUUCUCCUGCCUCAGCCUCCUGAGUAGCUGGGAUUUCAGGCCCUGGUCACCAUGCCCAGCUAAUUUUUUUGUAUCUUCCAUAGAGAGGUUUCACCAUGUUGGCCAGCCUGGUCUCGAACUCCUGACCUCGUGAUCCGCCCACUUCGGCCUCCCAAAGUGCUGGGAUUACAAGGGUGAGUCACUGCGCCGGGCCUGGACAUAGGCAGCUUUUUUUUUUUUUUUGAGACGGAGUUUCACUCUUGUUACCCAGGCUGGAGUGCAAUGGCGCGAUCUCAGCUCACUGCAACCUCCGCCUCCUGGGUUCAGGCAAUUCUCCUGCCUCAGCCUCCUGAGUAGCUGGGAUUACAGGCACGUGCCACCAUGCCCAGCUAAUUUUUUGGAUUUUUAGUAGAGACGGGGUUUCACCAUGUUGACCAGGAUGGUCUCGAUCUCUUGGCCUCGUGAUCCACCCGCCUCGGCCUCCCAAAGCGCUGGGAUUACAGGCGUGAGCCACCGUGCCCGGCUCAUGGCAGCUUUUUGCACACUCCUUGCUCUUUGGUGAUUGGUGUCUUUGCACCCAUCCAACCGCACAGGCGCACUCAUGUGCCUUUGCCUUCUCAGGAACUGACCUCUAGUUCAAAACACUUGCAUACUUUUUGCCUGCCCUGGGACCAAAAGCAAGACCUUUGAAACUUUGACAGCUCACUGUCCCCUCACCCAAACUCCCAAACUGCUCAUCUGAAGUCCCUCCUCUGCUCCUCAGCCUCUGCACAUGCACCAGUGUAAGCCCUCGUUGUUCCACAGUCCCUGAACCCUCUGCACGCCCACCCCUGGCCACCUAUCCCCAUUGCUCCCAUGAGCGUGGCACUCGCCAUUGGCACACUUUUUGAUCCACCACAGCUCGACCCCUGUGCUGGGGCCUCUUUUUGCAAAGUGACCUUUUGCACACAAACACAUGCCUCACGGGUCCCGCCACCCCUCCCACCCCAGAGGACAGCAUACUCAGGAUCCCAUCCCCCACGCGUGAAGAGAGCCCUCUCUCACCAGAUCGGAACUUGGAGCGAAUGAAUUGGGAACGCUGGGAGGAAGCUGCCAGGGUCAUUGCCAAGGCCGGGAUGGGGACCUGGAGGAAGGUUGGGGGAGGGCGGGGGCCCCACAGAGGGCAGGCUCAGAGUGGAGGUCAGGAGGCUGUCCCCGUGAGUUCAGCAGGGAAAGGGCCCAACAGAGGUGGGAUAGGAGUAGCCUUGGGUCAUAACUUCCGGAGCCCAGGGGCUGCAGAGGUCCAGUGGCUUUGUUCUUCCUCCCCGCCAAGAAUGAACUUGCUCACUACUCUCCAAGCCCCAAGCCCAAUGCGCUGUGGUGAAUUCUCACACUGAGAAUAGUUUCUUCCUAAGCAAUAGAUGCUUCCAAGGAGAUCUUUCUCCAGUGGUGGCUCUCAUCUUCUCACCUCUUCUGAAUGGAUUCUUCAAGGCAAUCCCUUCCUACGGUGGACUCUCCCAUAACAUUCAGCCAAGGAACAGAUGCUUCCAAGGAUACCCCCAUUUCUAAAAUGGGCUGUGCAAUGACCCUCACCCUCAAAGAAUGGACCUUUCAAAGGAAAUCUCCUUUUCCCCAUCGCUGGUCCCACCUGUCCAUUAUUGCAUCCCCACCCCACCAUAAUAUAGGUUGCCAGGUAUAUUUCCCCUUCCAAUAAUAGUUUCUCUCAAUAUUCCCAAAGCAAUGAAUGGGUAUUGUUAAAGAGAUUCCCUUGGACCAGGCAUGAUGGCUCACGCCCAGAAUCCCAGCACUCUGGGAGGCCGGGACGGGCAGAUCACCUAAGGUCAGGAGUUCAAGACCAGACAUGGUGAAACCAGUCUCUGCUAAAAAUACAAAAAUUAGCUGGGCACGGUGGUGCGUGCCUGUAAUCCCAGCUACUCGGGAGGCUGAGGCCCAAGAAUCGCAAAGUAAUGCAGGCCUGUGGUCCCAGCUACCCGGGAGGCUGAGGCACAAGAAUCACUUGAACCUGGGAGGCAGAGGUCUCAAUGAGCAGAGAUCACGCUACUGCACUCCAGCCUGGGCAACAGAGUGAGACUCAAAAAGAGAGAGAGUGUCGGGGGUGGUUCCCUUGGAACAAAAGUUUCCUCCAAUUUCUUCUCCCCAAGUGCAUACCUCCAAAGAGACCCCAUUUCUACAGUGGACUUAACUUCCCACAGCACGACGAUCUCACUUCUGAACAGACAUACUUCUCCGAUGGACUAACCUACUACUCCAACUCCCAUGCUGGAGGAUUUCAAAGAGAUAAUCCCCCUUCUAUCACUGGACAUCCUCGAUAAUCCAAUCCCCAGAAAGGACAUCUCCAAAAAGAUCUCCAUAUAGUGGGCUCUUCUGGUAACUCCGCGCAUAAAUAAACGCCUUCAAGAACCACCUCUUCUGACCAUGGAGUGUUUCACCUCAUCUACCAAAUGAAGACAGGCAUACCAGAAGGCCUUGUCCUAAAACAUGGACUCAUCUCCAUUCUGUAAAAGUACAAGCACUCAGCCAGGUGUGAUGGCUCACGCCUGUAAUCCCAGCACUUUGGGAGGCUGAGGCGGGCAGAUCACCUGAUGUCAGGAGUUCAAGACCAGCCUGGCCAUAAGGGUGAAACCCAGUCUCUACCUCCCGAGCUCAAGUGAUCUCCUAUCUCAGCCUUUCAAGUAGCUGGAAUUAAUAGGCACACACCACCCCACCUGGCUAAUUUUUGUUUUUCAGUUUUUAUGGAGAUGAGGUUCUGUGUUGCCCAGGCUUACCCUGAACUGCCACCUGAAAAAUGUCCUUCCAAUUUGAACACCUUUCCAAGAGACCCUCGUGUUCUCCUGCCUUGUCCAGAGGAAUGGCAGUUGUGAGACAUGCAGCCCUCUUGCUACAGCGAGCUCUCCCCAUCUCCUCGCCCCUAUGAGGAGGAAUGAAUUCUUCCACGUAAGCUCUUUCCUGAAGAGAAUCCUACCUUCUCCCCCAUGGACACAGCCAAACUGCCUCACCCAGUUGGAUCUUUCUGUAACCGUAAAAAUGGAACUAUCCAAUAAGCUCCACCACCUUCUGGAGUGGCCUCUGCCCUUGGUCCCAGCUGUACUUAUUUAGCCUGGCUAUACCACUGUUAACCAAAGACUGGCCACAGCAUAAGGAUAAUCCCCCCGACACUGCACAUAAAUGAGUAUUUUCAGCUGGAUGUGAUGGCUCACGCCUGUAAUCCCAGCACUUGAGACGCUGAGGCAGGCAGAUCACCUGAUGUCAGGAGUUCAAGACCAGCCUGGCCAACAUGGGGAAACCCCAUCUCUACUAAAAAUACAAGAUUAGCAGAGCAUGGUGUCGCAGGCCUGUGAUCCCAGGUAUUCUGGAGGCUGAGGCAGGAGAAUCGCAUGAACCUGGUAGAUGGAGGUUGCGGUGAGCCAACAUCACACCAUUGCACUCCGGCCUGGGCAAAAGGAGCAAAACUCCUUCUCAAAACAAAAAGAAAUUUUCCAGUACCACAUGCCUCACCCUCCCUGCUGGACCACACUGGUGUGAUCACAGCUUACUGUAGCCCAGACCUCCCGGGGCUCGGGGAUCCUCCUGCCUCAGCCCCUGAGUAGCUGAGAGGACAGAUGUGUGCCACUACACCUGGGUAAUUUUUGUCCUUUUUCUGUAGAGACGAGAGUUCACUGUUGCCCAGGCUGGUCCCAAGCUUCUGGUCUCAAGUGAUCCUCUUGCUCUGGCUUCCCAAAGUGCUGGGAUUACAGGAAUGAGCCACCGUGCCCCAGACAACACAUCACAUUUCUAUUAAUGCAAUUACUCCCCACUCAGCCACCAAUCCUCUCUUCCUCUUUGGUACCAAUCAAGUUCUAUUGGUACCCAGACAGAUAAAACAGAUAGAUCAAUACCACCUGCCUCCACCAACAGUGGUCAAAUCGUUCCAGUAUAAAGCAUCACCUUUUAAAAACGGGUCAGUGUGGCCAGGCGGUGGCUCAUGCCUGUAAUCCCAGCACUUUGGGAGGCCGAGGCAGGCAGAUCACAAGGUCAGGAGUUAGAGACCAGCCUGGCCAACAUAGUGAAACCCUGUCUCUACUAAAAAUACAAAAAUUAGCUGGACGUGGUGGCAGGUGCCUGUAAUCCCAGCUACUCCGGAGGCCGAGGCAGGAGAAUUGCUUGAACCUGGAAGAUGAAGGUUGCAGUGACCUGAGAUCACGCCACUGCACUCCAGCCUGGGUGACAGAGGGAAAAUCCGUCCCAAAAAAAAAAAAAAAAAAAAAAGCGGGGGAGGUCAAUGCACUCCUACCGGGAAAACACGGGCUUAUCCAGAACAUGAUCCCAGGCACCAAAUGAUACCCCUGCCCUAGAAGGUGGACUCACCUGUUACUCCCUCUCAAGAAACAGAUAUUUCCAAGGAGAUCUUCCUUUAAAAAUUUUUCAUUUUUAAAAAUAUUCGUGUUGGAGACAGGAGCUUUCUGUGUUACCCGGGGUGGAGUACAGUGGUGCCUUUAUAUCUCACUGAAGCCUCGACCUCCUGAGCUCAAGUGAUCCUCCUGCCUCAGUCUCCUGAGUAGCUGGGACCACAGGUGCACACCACUAAGCCCAGCUUUUUUUUUCCUUUCCUUCUUUCUUUCUUCUUCUUUUUUUUUUUUUUUGUAGAGACAGACUCUCACUAUCUUGUCCCGGUUGGUCUCGAAUUCCUGGCCUCAAGCAAUCUGCCACCUUGGCCUCCAAAGUGCUGGGAUUACAGGAGUGAGCCGAACGCCCAGCGGGGAUCUUCUUUCUGCGUUGGACUCUCCCAUGAUGAAAACAGUACUUUCCUCUAACUCUGAAUAAAGUGAACUAUUCUCUAUUUCUCCCUCCAGUGGACCCUUUCUCAGCCAUCUUCUCUUCACCUCCUGUGAAUCUCAUCUGUCAAUCUCUACUCUCCCGCGCUCGGAAACCUUGCUGGACCACGCCCCCCAGAGGACCUGACGCUAGCGCGACCCUGGGAAUUCUGGGAGUUGUAGUUUUAUUGCCCCGACAGGUGGGGUCGAGGGCUCUGGGCGUGCGGGGCUGGGGCGGCGCUUACCUGGGC